UGUUUAUUAUUUAAGGUUUGGCCUGCCCAAUGAUAUUAUUUAAUGGCCGCAGUAUUUUGACUGUGCAAAGGUAGCAUAAUCAUUAGUUUCUUAAUUAGGAACUGGUAUGAAUGGUCGGAUGAGGAAAUAACUGUCUCAGGCUAAUUUGAGUAGAAUUUUAUUUUUAAGUUAAAAAGCUUAAAUUUUGUUUAAAGACGAGAAGACCCUAUAGAGUUUUAUAGUAAUAUAUUUUUGGUUUUUAAGAAUUUAUUAACUUUAAUUAGAUUUACUAUUUUGUUGGGGUGAUGGAAAAAUUUAAUUAACUUUUUUUUUCUUAUACACUGAUUAGUGGAUUUUUGAUCCGUUUUUUACGAUUAUAAGAUUAAAUUACCUUAGGGAUAACAGCGUAAUCUUUUUGGAGAGUUCUAAUCGAUAUAAAGGUUUGCGACCUCGAUGUUGGAUUAAAA
rnacentral:rRNA from 1 species